rnacentral:lncRNA from 1 species
UGGUGGGAUAUGUACAGUGUACAAAGUAUUGGUUCAAUAUAUUUUUAUCUAACCGAUUUUAUUAGUGCACCGUUGUUAUUGUGACUGUGUAUGUAUAUAGUGACAAUUCAUAGGAUUUUAAAGAGUUUAAUUCACACUGACAAAGGACAACAGUGCCAGUGGUUCGUCUGACAGAGGUGGCAAAUACAGGAUAGCCUCACCGGACACAAUU